rnacentral:rRNA from 1 species
UACGUAGGUGGCAAGCGUUGUUCGGAAUUAUUGGGCGUAAAGGGCGCGUAGGCGGUUUGUUAAGUCGGUCGUGAAAGCCCGGGGCUCAACCCCGGAGGGUCGACCGAUACUGGCAGGCUAGAGUACAGAAGAGGUAACUGGAAUUCCCGGUGUAGCGGUGAAAUGCGUAGAUAUCAGGAGGAACACCGAUUGCGAAGGCAGCUCGCUGGGACGUAACUGACGCUGAGACGCGAAAGCGUGGGGAGCAAACAGG